UUCCCUGCAAGACUGUGCCGCCACGGACCUCAAAGUGGAGGCAGCGUGGACCGGCUUUGCAAUGUGGGACAGGCCUUGGCACUACUCUCCCAAGCCGGCUCGGAGCCCUGAAGGGCAAUUCCUGAGACGCAGCUGCAAAUGAAGAGACCAUCUCGGGCCGCCCCGGCGUGGCGGAAUGUUCGGGAUUGGAGACGAGCGUUGAAACGUCGCGGGUCGCCCUCUCCUCGUCGUGCACAUCCAGGAGCCGAACCGCUGGGGCAAGUGCUGUUCAUGGGCACCUACGAAGGCCAACAAAGCGCACAAAGGGGAGGGGUGGCCAACACCACGCCCGGCCGCCUUUGUCUCCCAACUGGCGAUGUUUACACAUCACACCGGGUACCCAUUUUAGGCUGAGACGGCCGGUUCAGAUGUGUGUCACCUGUGAGCGGGCAUCGAACUCAGGUAACAGUGUUCGUAGCGUAGUGCUCUAACCACUACACCAAUGCCCCCCACAAACUCUCUCUCUAUCUCACUCACGCACACACACGAAAUGGAGGACUCACCGAGUGGUCAGUUGGCAAGGAGUUCAAAGGUCGAUUACUGCAGCCACCCGGUCACUUAUGAGGCGUAUUGCCAAGAACAAGCCGCUUGCAGUUAAACUGACGUUAAAGACCCUUAACAACCACAGCAUUUAGCUAUCACACACACACACCUUGCCUCCAAAUUGAGUCUGUAACUAUGUGCCCACCGUCCUUGUAUGCACGUUGAACUUCUUCUACGCCGUACCUAGCCAACCGUGCUAAUUGGAUGAAGGCCUCCCCCACACCGUGUCAGUCAUGAAGGAUUGUUUGACCAUACUUCACCAUGCCGGGCAGUGGUGCUGAAGGAGAGAGGAGCAGAGAGGAGAUUUUACAGGAUCAGUUUGCACAUUGCUUUGACAUCGGUGUUAACUCUGACUGGGAAUAAGAAUCAUAAAUGAAAUAAAAAUCUGCGUUGCAUUAUUUGCUAAAUUUGUGAGCAUUUUGUGCAAAUCGAAUAAUGAAAAUGCAUAAUCAGAUGCAUAUUUUAGAAGAAAACGAAUGUCACUAGAAUUGCAUUUGCACUGCACGGCCAAAAUACUGUAUCUGCGUUUGUUUAGUGAAAUGAUGUAAAAUCCUUAUCUCUAUUUACAGUUUUUUUUUAAACAUGAGACUUCAAAGAUCAGAAGCGUUUGUUAUGCCAACUCGACAUUAAACUCUCUGAUCCUGCUAGAAUUUGCUUAUUCAAGCCUGACAUUCAAACAAUGGAUCUUUUACAUGUCAAUGACUGUACAAACAAGGGCCCAUUUAGGGUUGUUUAUCAGUCUACUCGACAUUUUUUGAGUGAUUUACUUGCAAGGUAGGAAGUUCAUCGCAAAUCUGUGCGUACUGAUUUCUUUAUUUACCUGCUCCUUUAUUU